UACGUAGGUGACAAGCGUUGUCCGGAUUCAUUGGGCGUAAAGAGCGUGUAGGCGGCCAGGUAGGUCGGUUGUGAAAACUGGAGGCUCAACCUUCAGAGGUCGACCGAAACCAUCUGGCUAGAGUCCGGGAGAGGAGAGUGGAAUUCCUGGUGUAGCGGUGAAAUGCGCAGAUAUCAGGAAGAACACCCGUGGCGAAAGCGGCUCUCUGGAACGGUACUGACGCUGAGACGCGAAAGCGUGGGGAGCGAACAGG
rnacentral:rRNA from 1 species